rnacentral:lncRNA from 1 species
CAAUUUGAUCAAUAUGUGAUUUUAUUUUCAUGCAAAAGUUUAGGACAUUUAAUCCAGUGAACACGAGGAUGAUAAAGAGCGAUUCCAUGUUAUGCUUUUCUUCACCUGGUGAUCAUGAGGUCAUUCUUUAGUUUGUGCAUUAGCCCUUUGCUUCCACCUGAAGAAUGCAGAAAGAACUUUGAAAUGUUCAUAUCAUCAACGCAGGUGGCAAAUCUUCUUCAUUAAGAGUUAUCAGGAUGGGCCUACUGAUUCAAAUAUUUUGGAAGGAGAUAUCGUAUCUCUCUUUUUCUUUGUCCUUUUCUUUUCCGGAAGGCAAAGGCAAAAAGUAAUGUAAAGAAUAACACACAAAAGAGCAAAGCGAAGACAGAUUUCAUCUCUUUUCACCUUUUGCUUUUCUCGGAUAAACCGUGAAACAUAAAAAUGAUAGAUACCAAGCGUACAACACGGUUUUAGAAUGAGAAAAGCAAGAGUUAUCAGGAUGGGCCUGGUGAUUCAAAUAUUUUGGAAGGAGAUAUCGUAUCUCUCUUUUUCUUUGUCCUUUUCCUCUCCGGAAGGCAAUGGCAAAAAGUAAUGUAAAGAAUAACACACAAAAGAGCAAAGCGAAGACAGAUUUCAUCUCUUUUCACCUUUUGCUUUUCUCGGAUAAACCGUGAAACAUAAAAAUGAUAGAUACCAAGCGUACAACACGGUUUUAGAAUGAGAAAAGCAAGAGUUAUCAGGAUGGGCCUGGUGAUUCAAAUAUUUUGGAAGGAGAUAUCGUAUCUCUCUUUUUCUUUGUCCUUUUCCUCUCCGGAAGGCAAUGGCAAAAAGUAACGUAAAGAAUAACACACAAAAGAGCAAAGCGAAGACAGAUUUCAUCUCUUUUCACCUUUUGCUUUUCUCGGAUAAACCAUGAAACAUAAAAAUGACUGGUAUCAAGUGUACAACACGGUUUUAGAAUGAAAAAAGCAAGAUCGGUUAGUUUUAGCAUUGUCGUGAUUAGAUUAUUGAGGAAGUUAUAUAUAUAUAUAUAAAGAUAUGACAUAUCAACAAGGGACUUACUACAAAUUGAUCUUGGGGGAAUAAUAGGUAUUACAGUAGGCUAUGAAUUCGCUCAAGAGGUAAAUCGACUUAACUUGCAACCAAGAGUGGUCGCUCUAAGGAAAAGAAGUGUAUUAUUGAUGGGGAUAUUAACAUGGACACAACUCCGAGCUGAUCUUCAUGAGAUACUUUUUGACUGUUAAAGUAAGUUACGAAUCCUCUCCAAUAAGGGUUUAAAUAGAUUAAACCUAAGAUCAACGGUAGUUGCUCUAAGGGAACAACUGGCUAUGCGGUGGCUAUCCUCAACCCAACCUUUACACACGGCCCAUUACAAGUUCCAACCCAUUAAGUGUAGGAAUGUUAGAAUUUCAAGGCCCAGAAGGUGUAAAAACGAAUUUGCACCAGCACAUUCGAUGAAAUCCAGGUGGAAUCCAUGCGGAAUCUACCCUGAGGCAAUAGUUUCUCUAUCCGCAAGCUACAGUCAAUUCUAAAACUAAAUCUCUCUUGCUCAGACCUCAACAUGGCAAUUUGACCAUGAAACUUCAUGGAAGAUGGCAUUCGUGGGUGUCACACUUGGUUAACAUGGAUCUUCUUUCCGUGUUGUGUUUCGUAAGCUCAUUGGUGUCGAGAGAAUUGAAGUAAACUCAUGAGAGAACCUUACAAAAAUUUAAUAGCUUCAACGUUGAGAGAUUGAUUGGAAGAUUGAGAAACAUAGAGAGAGGGAAAAAGAGUGACGGCAUUUGUAACAGUGGGAUGUUUUUUUCAGUUGUUCAUCCGUGAUCAGCAUUCUCAAGCUUCGAAGGAAGAUGGAAGUGGCUAGUACAGAAUCCAACGAAGGUCUAUUAAUCUGUUUGAUAAAAGUUACUACUUAUCCAUAACUUUGUUCCUUAUUCAAAAGCACAUUCGCACGUCGUUCACAGAAAAAGAGUCCUAAAGUAGAAGAAUGUGAGUUAAUGCUGGUAGGUAAAGUCCCAUCCAAUCCUUCUAUAAACAUACAAGCUUUUUAGAAUACCUUAAAGAGGACUUGGAGAACAUAACGGGUUGAAAUUACUCAAUGCGAAAGUGACAUUUACGUUGCUAAGUUUAAGUUGGAAGAUGAAAAACAAAGGGUACAAGAGGGUGAACCUUGGCUGUUUUCUGGCCAUUUGGUCAUUUUCAAACCAUGGAUACCUAAUAUGCCUCUACACUGCUAUGAUUUCUCAACUUGUGCAUUUUUGGUACAAAUCUAUGGUCUACCGCUAGAAUGGUACUCCGAAACUAUGAUUUGCAGAGCUGCGAAAAAUAUUGGAAAGGCGGUUGAUGUCAGAUUGGAUACUAAAGAGGGCACAACAAUCAGAACUGGUAAAGCUCGUGUAGAAAUCAGCCUAAGAGAUCGCUUGAAAACAGGGCAACUUAUAUGCAUAGCCAGAAGGCAAUUUAGCUCGAUUUUAGAUAUGACCAACUCCCACACUUUUGUUUGUGGCAAAUAAGUCAUUAUGCAAUGUACUGUAAGGAUGUUCCUUUCAUUGAAGCAAAAAUGGAAGGGAAAGAAAAAAUGGCUUAUGGACAAUUGUUGAGGGCAGAAGUUAAAGAGUAUAACCCAUACCGAAGAGCCUUUUAUAAGGAGCAACAACAUACCGAUGAUGAGGUUGUGCCAGAGACUCCUCCAUCAUCAUGUUUAAAUCCAGCACUACUGCCAUGCAAUGAAGCAGACUCUAGAGUCUAGCAGCAACCUGAACAGGGGAAGAAAUGUCAGAAUACAAAGCCAGGAGACGCAUCCACAAGUGUAGUAGUCUAUGUACCUGAACAAGGGAAGAAAUGUCAGAAUACAGAGCCAACAACAUUAGAAAUGGAACCUGAAGGUAUGAAUCAUCCGGUCAAAAAUGUUCCAGACCUUGCUACCUACACUAUUCACCCUCAAAUGUGCGAAGGCACUUACCCCAUACCCCCUGUUCCCACCGGAGUACAAAACAUUAAGCAGCAAGCAAUGGAACCUUCUAAUCACAAGAAAUUAAAGAAUACAAGGCUAUCCACAAGAGCAGGAGCGGCUAAGAAAAUUAAACAAUACACCCCUUAUGAUUUACACAGCACUAUAGAAGGAGCAAUAGAUGAGCGAACUCUUAUGGAAACUCCUAUCUUGUUGGCUACUGAGGCAGAAAAAUG